rnacentral:lncRNA from 1 species
GAGAAAACAUGUGGGCUCAGGCUCAGGGUGCUGGAGAGGCUGGGCAGGCAGAGGGAUUGCUCCCAGGAGCAGGGAGCAGUGGGCAAAGCGGCAGCGCUUUCCCCAGAGCAGGGUGGAUGUCAUGCCUGUUCUCCCCAAAAACAAACUGACUGAAAAUACUAAAAAGUUUUUGUAAUCCUAUUGGUCCUGCCGAGGGAGCCUGACUGGCAGGACAAUACAUCUUUGUUCUCAAUUAAAAAACAUUAUUUGGGUGCAAUAAUCAUUUAAAAGCCAAGAGGAACAAGAUUUUGUGAUUAUAACCACAAAUUGUGAAUUGAAGCAAAUAUUUUAAACAAUCAAGGUUUGGUAGAGAAAGAAGAGAGAGGGAAUAAUAACAACCUUUACUAUAACUCCAUGCAGCCUUCAUCCAGCCAGUACAAUUUUACUUGUAUUCUGAAAUCGAUGCACCAUAAUCACAAACCAAAAUCGUGACUGUAGUAAAAACCCACAUACGACACAAGCAGAUGUGGAGGGAUUCCGUCCGGACUUUAUAUUGCUGGAUACUGUCACAUGAGAAAGGAUGUGCAUCUAAGUGCAAUUCUCUCUUCUGGAAUAUUUGAAGGCCACGCUUAAGGAUCCUCAUGGAGAAAUGCAAGAAGGAAUGAAUAUAAGAGUUUGCUGCAAAAACGGAGGGGAAGAAAAAACAACAAGGACAAUGAAAAAAGAAAAGAAGAAGAAACUGCCCCGAACGAAAGGCUCGAUUCAGAAACAGUGCAAGGCUGCUUCUAAACAGUCAUGUGACUUUUUUUUUGCUAACAGCCAUGUGCUCGCGUAUCAUUUUACUCUGAAAUAACUCUGCGGAUUUCAGCUCAACCUGCCUUUGCUUAUAAUGCAUGACAUAGCCUGUGAGGGAGCCUGAGAACUGUCCCUCUUCAAAAGCAAGGUUCCCAUGCUUGGCCUGUCACCAUGGAAGCAGAUGCCUUUUUUUGCUUACCCCUGCUUACCUCUUUGCAGCCACGAGCUGCUCCCUAUUGUUAAAAGGGGUACGCCUUGAUUUUUCUUCGUCGUGACUGAACUUGCCUCUUCUUCAAAGGGCACGAUGCUGCAGGUCAUUGGUCUAGACUGUUUGCACGGUCCAGAGAACAGCCUUGAUGUAACCCUUGCUCCGUCUGUGCCACACCACCAGCCGUGCGACUGCAGACUGUAGGGGGACAUCGGAGAUCUGUAUUUGAAAAGAAGUCCGUCCGAUUUUGCCAUUGUGCCUUUUCAGUCAUCGAUCGAAUGAAUAUCGAACCUUCUGUCGUUGCAUGUGUGAAAUAGAUAGCUUAGCAAGCACUUUUGUGCCCAAACCUGUGCAGUGGGCCAAACUCUUCCUUUAUUCACAAGUAUUAUUGGUUUUUUGUAGUGUAGUAAUUUUUUGGGAACUUUAAUAACAGUGUUUUUAUGUUAGACCAGCCUCUCACAGCAGAAUCUCUUUGUUUUAACCUGCUUGAUUUAGCACUCAAUUUUUAAUUUUUUUUUUUAAAGGUGCUUUCUCUUUUAAUCAUUUCCAGUUCAACAUCAGCCCUCUUAAAGUGCAAGGGAGGCUGAUUUGGAAUCAGUAUGAACUGCCUGGAAUUGUGAGGAGUUUCAAAACAAGAUACUGACUGGAGGUUUGCUGCCACGAGGCUUUAAAAUUAACACAGGAGAAAAAAGAACGUGAACUUGGAAAGCUUCCAGAAUUAAUUCAAAAAGUAAAAAAAAAUAUUAAAAAUUGCUUUUUUUGCUUGUUUGUUAGAUAAAAUAAAGCAGAUAGUCUUAAAGAAAAGAGAGAUAUU